rnacentral:lncRNA from 1 species
CAUCAAGUCAAAUAUUCUAUCAUUUAAUAACAAAUCAUAUAAUAGCACUUUGAUAAUUAUAUCAUCAUAAAUCAUGCUUUCUCAUACGUAAUCCAUUUUCCUCACUUAACUAAUUCAAUCAUUUAAAAUCUCAUGCUUAGUAAUUUAAUAUCUCAAUUAAAUCUCAAACUCAUUUGGUAAAGUAAUUCAUAUACUUAAAUCAUUCUAUAAAAUAAUAAAAAUAAAAAGACUUCAUAAAAGAAAAUAAAUUUAAAAACCCCACAACUAAAUAAAUUAGUCAAGCCCAAUUGAAUUAAAACAAAUAAGGCCCAAAUUCAAUUUAAUUAAAGAAGGGCCCAAGCCCAUCCUUCAUCCUUUAACCUAUCUGCACACACACCAUUUCACAUUCAAACUCACACACACAGCAC